ensembl:antisense Gm12205 predicted gene 12205
UUUUGUUUUGUUUUCUUUUUCAUGUUUAUUUAGUAACUAGAAAACUGGACAGAAGCCGGUAAAACAUCAAGUAAGACAAUUUUUUAUAGUUUUUAUAGAGUGAAAAGCAAUCUAGAAUUUUGGUAGUACUUUGGUUUAAAUAUAUCCUUCAAAGGUUCGUGUGUGGAGAUGCCUAUGCUUUGAGCAGCCAGGAGACUGAUGCAGGAGGAUUGCUCCAAGACUGAGGCUAGCCUGGACUAAAUAGAGAGUACUAGGUUGGCUGAGAUUAUNNNNNNNNNNNNNNNAAUAAUUAUGUAUAAUAAGAAAGUCUUAAAACAACAGAAGGCUUGUAUCUUAGCUCAGUGGCAGAGAGCUUGCCUUGUAUAUGUGCAUUCUGAAUUCAUUUCUCAGCAUCCCCAGAUUAAAAAGAAGUUAAUGUGCUAUAAGCUGGUGAAGUUUGGUCUGGUUCUACUUCCUAUCCCCAUGCUACCAAAAACAAGACUCAGAUUCAAAAUGUACUUACAAAUACUUUGGCCAUAUAGCUAGGCUCUUCUCUGGCUAGAAUCAUAACAAGAGAA